GAUGAACGCUAGCGGGAGGCCUAACACAUGCAAGCCGAGCGGUAUUGUUUCUUCGGAAAUGAGAGAGCGGCGUACGGGUGCGUAACACGUGUGCAACCUGCCUUUAUCUGGGGGAUAGCCUUUCGAAAGGAAGAUUAAUACUCCAUAAUAUAUUGAACGGCAUCGUUUAAUAUUGAAAGCUCCGGCGGAUAGAGAUGGGCACGCGCAAGAUUAGCUAGUUGGUGAGGUAACGGCUCACCAAGGCGAUGAUCUUUAGGGGGCCUGAGAGGGUGAUCCCCCACCCUGGGACUGAGACACGGACCAGACUCCUACGGGAGGCAGCAGUGAGGAAUAUUGGUCAAUGGGUGCAAGCCUGAACCAGCCAUCCCGCGUGAAGGACGACUGCCCUAUGGGUUGUAAACUUCUUUUGUAUAGGGAUAAACCUACCCUCGUGAGGGUAGCUGAAGGUACUAUACGAAUAAGCACCGGCUAACUCCGUGCCAGCAGCCGCCGUAA
rnacentral:rRNA from 1 species